rnacentral:rRNA from 1 species
GCACCUCGAUGUCGGCUCGUCGCAUCCUGGGGCUGGAGUAGGUCCCAAGGGUUGGGCUGUUCGCCCAUUAAAGCGGUACGCGAGCUGGGUUUAGAACGUCGUGAGACAGUUCGGUCCCUAUCCGCCGCGCGCGUAGGAAACUUGAGAAGGGCUGUCCCUAGUACGAGAGGACCGGGACGGACGAACCUCUAGUGUGCCAGUUGUCCUGCCAAGGGCACGGCUGGUUGGCCACGUUCGGAAGAGAUAACCGCUGAAAGCAUCUAAGCGGGAAGCUCGCUUCAAGAUGAGGUUUCCCACAGGGUUAACCUGGUAAGGCCCCCAGAAGAUGACUGGGUUGAUAGGCCGGAGGUGUAAGUGCGGCAACGCAUGUAGCCGACCGGUACUAAUAGGCCGAGGGCUUGACCAC